rnacentral:tRNA from 2 species
UGGGGAGUAGCCAAGCGGUAAGGCAGGGGCCUUUGAAGCCCCCAUGCGAAGGUUCGAUCCCUUCCUCCCCAG